ACCAAUUCUGGAGAAUAAAAUUGGUUUCUCUAGGUAUAAUGGCUUGGACGCAAUAGCAAAGAAUGGUCAUCCUGAUAAAUGUACUCUCUCAAUGUCAUUUUAUCCUGGAAACGCCACUGAUAUUU
rfam:Daucus carota subsp. sativus cultivar DH1 chromosome 5, whole genome shotgun sequence.